ACCGUUUACAAAUUUUUGAAUAUCCAUAUAUAGAAACAGGAGAACAAAUUAGUACACAGGAGAACAAAUUAGUACACAGGAGAACAAAUUAGUACACAGGAGAACAAAUUAAUACAGGAGAACAAAUUAAGUUUACAAAUUACUACUUAUAUAGAAACACAGGAGAACAUAU